rnacentral:rRNA from 1 species
CCAGACUCCUACGGGAGGCAGCAGUGGGGAAUAUUGCACAAUGGGGGAAACCCUGAUGCAGCGACGCCGCGUGAGCGAAGAAGUAUUUCGGUAUGUAAAGCUCUAUCAGCAGGGAAGAAAUUGACGGUACCUGAGUAAGAAGCUCCGGCUAAAUACGUGCCAGCAGCCGCGGUAAUACGUAUGGAGCAAGCGUUAUCCGGAUUUACUGGGUGUAAAGGGAGCGUAGGCGGCCUGCCAAGUCUGAUGUGAAAUGCCGGGGCUUAACCCCGGAACUGCUUUGGAAACUGAGCAGCUAGAGUGCAGGAGAGGUAAGUGGAAUUCCUAGUGUAACGGUGAAAUGCGUAGAUAUUAGGAGGAACACCAGUGGCGAAGGCGGCUUACUGGACUGUAACUGACGUUGAGGCCCGAAAGCGUGGGGAGCAAACAGGAUUAGAUACCCGCGUA